AUUACGCUAUCUUUCUGUCAAUCUUUAGUAUUAAAGAUUAUAUGGUCUUGGGAAAGCGCAAGAAACUCGCUAACAGGGUUGAAACUCAUUAGGGGAUACAACUAAUACAAAGAUGUCUCAGAGCAAAGAAAUAAAAGUCUAGAAAUAAAUUCUGAGAUUUAAAAGAAGAGCUUUGACAUGACGGACUGCGUAGUUUACUAUGAAUGGAGCAGCGAGCUUAACGAAAGGUACAAAUGCUCUGUAUGUCCUGCAGAAUACAAGAGUACAGUGGAGAGAGAUAAACAUUAUGAUAAAUCUCACGUUAUACCGAGGCCGCAAUGUGAAAUGUGCAAUAAAGAGUUUCCUAACGAACUUGCAUUAGAGAAACAUUUAGAUAUAAAACAUUUGGAUAAAGCGGAGAAAUAUACAAAAGAGUGUCCAACCUGUCAUGCUAGAGUUCAGAAGUUAAGUUCGCAUAUCCGUCAGAAACAUGAAAAUAUCCACAAGCUAGACCUUUACGGAGGAAUCUGUCCGCACUGUAAUAAACUCUUCAGUAACGAUUACAAGGUUAAGAGGCAUAUUACACAAGUUCAUGAGAAUAUCCGCCCCUUCACCUGUAUUGAGUGUGAGAAAUCAUUUCUGGAUAAGAAGGAUUUAAGAAGACAUGUUAGAGGUGUGCAUUUUGGUGAAAAAGUGAAUAAAUGGAGAAGAAAAAGCAGUAGCUCCGAAUCUACUCAUAUUGUGAAGAAACAGUUUAACCUAACAGAGGGUCUCCUCGGUGGACCGGAGAAAUAUUUACCAACCCUAGACACUACAGCCGGUACAUUCGGGUCAACGGGAAUAUACUUCUCCGCGGACAGCCUCGGUCCUUUAGUUCAAACCCAGCCUCCAGACGUCCUUGUAGCAGAGGAGGAGCCUCCAGAGGUUCUUGUAACGGAAAUGGAUUUACCUGGAAUAUUUAUUACCGAGGUUGUUUCACUACCUGAGCCCUCCGACAAUACUGAGGUCGUAGCUGAGAAAGAUGAGGAUGGGUCUCCGAGAUCUCUUUCUAAGCAGUAUGAUGAAUAUACAGUUCUAGUGAGUGAAGACCAUCCAUCCCUUGAUGAGAGACUGGACGAGGAUCCAGGGGUUAGUGACGAGGAACCUUGUCAGAAUAUCUCUGAUAUAUCUCUAUUAGCAAACUAUAAACUCUCUCUCCGGAACUGUUUGGUGACACGGGAUACUGUUGAGACGGAAACAAACCAGGUUUCAGCAACCACUGGGAAACCGUCAACCCUGAGUUUAAGAAUAUCUGCUCUCAAAACCGGAUCCCAACCUGAACCUGGAAACCAGGAGAAAUCUCUAGUUUCCAGUUUAGAGCUCACUCCUUCAUGUAUAGAAUUCUACCGGGAGCAGAUUACUCCGGGUUCAGUGAUCACCUCACAAUCAGAGGAAACCCUGUCACAGCUCACUCAACCCGAUGUUUUCUCCCAAAAUUCACAAAUAUUUAUUCUUCAAAAUAUUGAAGAAACCCCUCCUGGGGAUAUCUCCACAUGCUCUGAAAUACAGAUUGAAACAAGAAGUAGAACUGACAUAUUUAAAACUAGCAAUGAAGAUUCAACAGAGGAAAGAAGAGUUGUUGAUGUUGAUGUAGAAGAAGCCGAUGAGAUGGAUAGGUUUGAUAUAUUACCCUCUCAGCAACUCAACGGGAAUGAAGCUGAGAUUCAUCCGGAAGAAACUCAGCCUUUGACAAACAUAAGUAUCCGUGAUCAGGGAUGUACUGUUUAUAGAGCAGGGGAAGAUCUUGUUUAUAGUUCAGAGGAACUUGGAGAUAGGAAAACAUAUAGUAAACGAUAUAGUGUGAGAGAAAAAGAUGGCUGCCGUCGGAAAUAUUUCCAGCAUAUUGAGCAUCAGGAGAAUCAAGAUGAUUUCAGAUAUAAACUCUCACGCUCUAGGGUUGACAGCACAGGUGAUAUUGUGCUUGAGCUUGUAGAGAAAGCUGACCUACAUCAGUCUAAAGAAACUACAGCUGAAGAUUCCCACUGUACUACCACAACCAACCAGUCUGUGCUAGAUAAUCAAACAACCAAAUAUGUUACUGUCAGAUGGGGAGAAGAUGUGAGCUCUCCUGUUAUAUUAUCAAGAUAUCCUUUUCCAUCAGUAGAUGGUCGUCUUCCAGAGAUUCUCUUCAGUGAGACAACAGAGGAAACCCAGGAAAACUCUGAGACCUGUUCUGAAAACCCUGGUAAGAAGGCAGAGGAAUCUGCUCCAGAGGAUAUUGAAGGCUGUGUGGAGGAGAAACAACAGGUUGAUAACGACGGGGUCCUUAUGAUAGAUGAUGACGAGGACCAUGCUGGGGUUGAGUACGAUCCCAUGGAUGCUCGGACCUUGACUACUAAGAAGAUCAAGAUGAAUAUCCCGGACCCCCAGGAGUCAGAGGAGAAUACAGUGGUCUGUCCUGAGGAGACUUGUAGUAGAGUUUUCAAGGGGAAAUCAUACAAGUUGCAAUAUCAGAGACAUUACGAGCGGGUUCAUCUACAAGUAAAGAAGCAUGUUUGUAAAUACUGUUCAUUCAGGUUCUACGGAAAGAAUGAUUUUAUUCGUCACUGUGAAUCUGUGCAUAGGAAGAUUAAGAGUCUUUGUCCAAUAGAUGGGUGUAAUAAACCUGUUGUUCGAUUAGAUCUUCAUAUUAAACAAGUUCACUCGCAGACAAAUAAAGUUAGUAAAGAUAAGGAGGACAACACUUGUACUGAGUGUAACCAAGUGUUUAAUAGAGUUUAUGAUAUGAUAAGACACAGAGAAACCGUACAUUUAGGUUGGAAGAAGUUUAAAUGUAUCGAAUGUGCGCGUGGGUUUAUCGAUAAACGUGAUUUGAUCAGGCAUCAUGACGCUGUUCAUCUCAAGAUUAAAAAACAGACUAGACGUUACUCCUGUCCAACCUGUAACAAGAAAUAUCGUUUAAAGAAGGAUUUGGUUGAGCACUGUUCCAGUCAAUCCUGUAGCAAACAGAAUACUGUACCUUCUAAUACAAAGAUAUAAAUCAACCCUCCAGGAUUAAUUUGGUUGAGCACUGUUCCAGUCAAUCCUGUAGCAAACAGGAUACUGUACCUUCAUAACACAAAGAUAUAAAUCAACCCUCCAGGAUUAAUUUGGUUGAGCACUGUUCCAGUCAAUCCUGUAGCAAACAGGAUACUGUACCUUCAUAAUACAAAGAUAUAAAUCAACCCUCCAGGAUUAAUUUGGUUGAGCACUGUUCCAAUCAAUCCUGUAGCAAACAGGAUACUGUACCUUCAUAAUACAAAGAUAUAAAUCAACGCUCCAGGAUUAAUUUGGUUGAUCACUGUUCCAGUCAAUCCUGUAGCAAACAGGACACUGUACCUUCAUAAUACAAAGAUAUAAAUCAACGCUCCAGGAUUAAUUUGGUUGAGCACUGUUCCAAUCAAUCCUGUAGCAAACAGGAUACUAUACCUUCAUAAUACAAAGAUAUAAAUCAACGCUCCAGGAUUAAUUUGGUUGAGCACUGUUCCAAUCAAUCCUGUAGCAAACAGGAUACUGUACCUUCAUAACACAUAGAUAAAAAACAAUCCUACAGGAUCAAUUUAAAGAGCUUAAUAAUAUUUAUGAUCAUUACAUAUUUUUUUAAGAUCUAGUCAAUCUCUGGUUUUAAUUAUGAUUUACAUAUGGCGAACCACAUCAUAUAGCAAUAAUCAGUGAUGUAUAAAAAUGUUCAUUAAAGGAUUGUUCACCUAUUUGAAAAUUCUACUCAGAAUACCCAUAUUUUCAAGUAGAAACAAUCAAACAAUCCCAAAACAUGUUGAAUCCAAGGAAAUAAAUAUUUAAUUUCAGA